rnacentral:rRNA from 1 species
UACGGAGGGUCCAAGCGUUAUCCGGAAUCAUUGGGUUUAAAGGGUCCGUAGGCGGUUUUGUAAGUCAGUGGUGAAAGCCCAUCGCUCAACGGUGGAACGGCCAUUGAUACUGCAAGACUUGAAUUAUUAGGAAGUAACUAGAAUAUGUAGUGUAGCGGUGAAAUGCUUAGAGAUUACAUGGAAUACCAAUUGCGAAGGCAGGUUACUGCUAAUGGAUUGACGCUGAUGGACGAACGCGUGGGGAGCGAACAGG